CCUACGGGUGGCAGCAGUGAGGAAUAUUGGUCAAUGGGCUCUCGCCUGAACCAGCCAAGUAGCGUGAAGGAUGACUGCCCUAUGGGUUGUAAACUUCUUUUAUCUGGGAAUAAAGUGCAGUAUGUAUACUGCUUUGCAUGUACCUUAUGAAAAAGGAUCGGCUAACUCCGUGCCAUCAGCCGCGGUAAUAACGCGGAUCCGAACGUUAUCCGGCUUUAUUGGGUUUAAAGGGAGCGUAGGCGGGUUGUUAAGUCAGUUGUGAAAGUUUGGGGCUCAAACGUAAAAUUGCAGUUGAUACUGGCAUCCUUGAGUGCAGUAGAGGUAGGCGGAAUUCGUGGUGUAGCGGUGAAAUGCUUAGAUAUCACGAAGAACUCCGAUUGCGAAGGCAGCCUACUGGACUCUAACUGACGCUGAUGCACGAAAGUGUGGGUAUCAAACAGGAUUAGAUACCCUAGUAGUC
rnacentral:rRNA from 1 species